rnacentral:rRNA from 1 species
UACGGAGGGGGCUAGCGUUAUUCGGAAUUACUGGGCGUAAAGGGCGCGUAGGCGGCCUUCUAAGUCAGACGUGAAAUCCCCCGGCUUAACCUGGGAACUGCGUCUGAUACUGGAGGGCUUGAGUGCGGGAGAGGGAUGUGGAAUUCCAGGUGUAGCGGUGAAAUGCGUAGAUAUCUGGAGGAACACCGGUGGCGAAGGCGGCAUCCUGGACCGACACUGACGCUGAGGCGCGAAAGCUAGGGUAGCAAACGGG